GUCAUGUUCCCCAUGUUCCAGGAGCUUGCACCACAUGACCGGCAGGACAAGUGUGGUCACCACUAUGCCAUAUGUCUUGACCUGAAGAACCAACAUUUUGAGGUGCUUGAUUCAAUCCGUUCGGAAGCUGAUGCAGACCUUACUACGCAUGCCGAAUUCUUCAUCAACAACUUCAAAGAGACAUGGAACCGUCACUACGAACAUUCACAGGUCCAGAUCAGGCAUUUCCCGACUGAGUAUGUGGCGACUGUGAAGCAAGGGAACACGACGGACUGUGGCUUUCACGCGCUGGAAUACUUUGCAAAGUGGGAAGGCAGAAUUGUCCCCGCUAUCACAGCUGCAACGGUCGUUGAGCUCCAGAAAAUCCACACAUGGAACUGGUUGACGAAUGAAGAUUUCAACAAGCGGUCCGGAGCACGCGAGUUUGUGGAGGAAGCUGUCAAG
rnacentral:rRNA from 1 species